CAGGUAUUCAUGUAAUGAAGUCAUCAAUGUCUCAAUACCUACUUUGACUGCCUUGAAUGAAUGUACAAUCUCUUUUCAGAAGGGAAGGAAUGAAGAAACGAGUUUGGUAGACUAAACAGUCUUCUAGAAGGAAGUUGGUGAGAUCAGACUCUCUGUCAGAUCCUCCUUUCUUCCACAUUAGCUUGUGUUUCAGACAUCCACCGGCUUGCACUGGGUAACACCCUUUGUUCAGUUAAUCCACUUCUAAAUCACUUAUCUGCAGCCUUUCUGUAUGAAGACUUAAGGGGCUCUCUGGGGCAACUGAAACUACAGAGGUGUGGCUCUACAGGAGCAGAAACCGUGAGACCGAGAAGUUUGUGAACAAAGGGCUGGGUCCCGUUCAGUCCUUUCCUCCUGGUACAGUUGCCCAUAGAGAAGAAAUCUUGUUCUUAAAAUGGCAAUGCAAUGCAUUGAGCAUGAAUUCCCAGAGGAUGGGAGAAAUGGGCCAGACUUCUCCUACAGGAAUUGAGUAGUUGCUCAAAGACCUUGGCGAUGGCGCUGGAGCUCUGUGCAGCUGAACAUCACUCCAUUCCCAUCUCCCUGGCAGUUACCCACAGUAACUAAUGCAGACUGAGAACACACACGAGGCUGGGAACAAAAUGUUUCUGUUAGUAGAAAAUGACAACUGUAAAUAUGAAUGGAGAAGAACCACAAAUCAGCAAUGAGGCAUGGUAAAGCAAACGUAGGGCAGCUUUAUCCCAAUGUAGAAACGCUUUGAAGAGAAAUCGAGUUCAAGUGAAAUCUGUUAACCCAACACUGUGAGUGGGUUUCAAUGGAAGAGAAAAAACCCUGAGGCGAAAGAACUCUCAGGAGGAUCCCAUAAAAGACUGAAGUGGGGCGAUGUCUGCCUUGAGUUGGUCCUCAGCAGAACAGCAUUAUGGGGCAGUGAUAUUAACAUGCAGAAAUAAGAAGAACGGAGUACUUCAUUUUGUUGAGAAGAAUCAAGCUAUAUAGGCUUGUAGGACUGUGUCCGGUGGAUUAUUGGACUCUAGGAGCUGUGCCAGGUGCACUCAGAAAAAUUGGGGUCUUCUGAAUAAAGACAUGUCAGAUAAAGAAACAGAAGAAGAAAGAAGUAAAAUGACAUUUCCCACAUCACUCUGUUGGCAUGUUACAGGGCAAAGGUUUGAAGUCAUAUUAAUGUGAUUCUUUUAAUUUAUAUUUUUACAUGUAUGUAUUUUUAUUUCAUUUGCAUUUUCCAAUAAUUUUUAAAAUCCAUGUUGAAAAUGUUUAGAACCACAGUUGUAAUAAGAAGAUCCUAGUGUUUUUGUCUGAGACAGAACCUAAUAAAAUUGUUUAAAAGUUGGGAUUUCUUGUAAAAUGGAUGGCUAGUGGGAAGCUGCUGUAUAGCACAGAGAGAUCAGCUCGAUGCUUUGUGACCACCUAGAAGGGUGGGAUAGGGAGGAUGGGAGCGAGGCUCAAGAGGGCGGGCAUAUGGGGAUGCAUGUAUACUUAUAGCUGAUUUACUUUGUUGUACAACAGAAACUAACACAGCAUUGUAAAGCAAUUAUAC